CUGGCCCAAGCUUUCCUUCUCUAAAGAGGCU
rnacentral:piRNA from 1 species